UACGGAGGAUGCGAGCGUUAUCCGGAUUUAUUGGGUUUAAAGGGUGCGUAGGCGGCCAUUUAAGUCAGCGGUGAAAUUUUGCAGCUUAACUGUAACAGUGCCGUUGAUACUGUUUGGCUAGGAUUUGGCUGUAGUGUGCGGAAUGUGUGGUGUAGCGGUGAAAUGCUUAGAUAUCACACAGAACACCGAUUGCGAAGGCAGCACACUAAGUCAUUAUUGACGCUGAGGCUCGAAAGCGUGGGGAGCAAACAGGA
rnacentral:rRNA from 1 species